GUUCUCGGCAUUUGUUUUUCCGGAAAGCAGCAAUAUUCUCAUAUAUAGAAAGCAGAAUCUACUUCAACUAAUUGGCAAGAAUUAAACGGUCCGACAAAGUUCCACGCGCGAGCAAGAUCGAAGAAGAGAAGCGGGAGAAGGUAAGGAGCAAAAGAAGCAUCAAGGCAGACCCUCUCUCUCUCUCUCCGAGUACGGAGUUCUUAGAGGGAACGCGAUGUUCCUGGAACUCUUGCCAUCGUGGCCCUCUUCAGCCUCGGCUUCACGGUUCAGCUAACUUUCUGCCGGCUCUUAUUACGAACAGCUCGACGCUUUAUCAGACUCGCGUAUAUAGGAAAUAAUUUUGAAGGUGACUCAGACAGUCCGUCAGGAAAAAAGCGAGUUUUCCGAGCUUUCCCAUGUAAAAAGCACACUUGAAAAGUGCACGAGGAGCAAGUUUUGUGCGCGGUGUUCUGUCACAAGGAACCUGAUUCCCUACAACACGAGCGAGACAACUCGUUCGAGAAGGAAAAGAGACGCGAUGGAAGGAAGGAGCCAGGCCGCUCGUGGUGAGGCUGAACAGAGAGAAAAAGGAGGACGAACGAGAGAAGAAGACGGAAAGAAGGUGGAGGCCGAUGAGAGAGGACGGCAAGAUUGGCCUACGCAAGCGAGAAGCGAGACGGAACGAUAAAGGAGGCCGAGAGAAUAAUAAUAAAGAGACGAGGAGGGAAGAUAAUGUACGGCGCCGCUCUGGCGUCCAUUCAUGCUUUUUACUCGUUAGCGGUUAGCGCUCACGCGGACCGAACAACCUCGUAUCACCUUGUCUCACCUGCCCCCAACGAGCGACUCCACUCGCUCCUUUCUCCUUCUCUCGCCCAUUGAUCUCACCUGAUCUAGUUGACCCGCGAGGGAAUACGUGUGUACGCGUACUACGGGUAUAUGCAGCUCGAACCAGUCGUGAAAUUCUAUUCUGCCUUAUUCAUCUUUAUGGAGCAUGCAGUUGUUCGCCAGAUAGACGUUUAAGGCGGGAAAGGAUAAUGACUUAACUCGGAGAUCGGAUAAUUGAAAUUAUUAGGCAUGCAGUUGUUUGCCAGAUAGACGUUUAAGGCGGGAAAGGAUAAUGACUUAACUCGGAGAUCGGAUAAUUGAAAUUAUUAGAAUUUUGGGGUCCAUAGACGGUCCUCACAAAACUCCGAAGAAAUCUCGAGAUUCAGUUUGUCGUUCAAAGGACGAGACACAAAAAUUUCUUCAUCCAAUUUUAGUCUGCGAAAUAUGUCUAGGAAAAGUUCUCAGCGGGCGUUCUGGGAAACCCAAGAGGGAAUUCCAAAGGCAGCGAAGUAUUGUGGUAAAAAAUGAAACCACGAGCAUAGGACGAUGAAAAAGGAAGAUGGAGACGAAAAAAUAGAGUUAAAAGAAAAGGAAAUACCAGAAGAUUUCUUUUUCGACCUUUAGUAAUGUAUUACAAUAGCUGAUGCGCCUUAUUUAAAGAGGACUACUCUAGAACCUUUUUUUAUAAGGUCGGCAAAAAAAACCAAAGCUAUGUCGAGCAUCGGUAAUAUCUUCCUGUAAAUGUAUAUUUACUAUUCCCGAUGGAAUCGUUCGAUAUCACUUAUCAGUUAUCAGUGUGAAGGUAUAAUUCCCCGCUGAUAUCAUCUCGUAACAAUAUUGUCUUGCGAUCGACACCAACUCAUCUAUGUCAGUAUUACUAAACAUACAAUCGUAAUACGAGUAUAUAUCAGAGCAGCUUGAUGCGAAACUAAAUUUGUAGCUACAGAUGAAGAUACAUAUGCAGACAUAUUCAUAAAAAGAUCAUUA